UGAGACUGAUUGAGACUGUGUUGUUAGUUAUGAUUCGGAGUAAAUUGUUCACAGUAUUUUUCAGGCUUUGAUUUAUAACGAUCAAGAUAUUUGAAAUGGAAAGGAAAUAAUACAAUGAACAUGGCUUCGGUCAAGGUAGCAGUAAGAGUGAAACCCCCUUAAUAAAAGAUGUGUGAAGAUUUGGGUACUGAUGUGAUACAGGCAGCAUUUGAGGGUUACAAUGCCUGUAUUUUUGCUUCUGGUCAGACGGGAGCCAGUAAAUCCUACAGUAUGAUGGGACAGGAGGCCAGACUGAAAAAGCAUUUGGAACACAUCAACACAUCAUAGGGUUUGGAUGAGUCCAGUGUUUCCUAAACUUUCCAAGUUAUCUGGUGAAGAAUCUACAAACUAUUCACCAACUUAUUUUAUAGAGGAUUUAUUGGAAUAUUUGGCAGCAUAUGGGGGUAGUGCAGUAGAUGAAUGGAAGAAACAUAUUCAGGAACAUGAUAUGUCAUCUGCAAGGGUUCGCCUAAUAGCCUCUGUUCCUGGGAGACACACUGGAGUCAAUAAAACCAAAUGGGGCCAUCUUAAACUUGGUUCUUCACCCGCAUGGGCCUAGCUCUGAUGACAUCAGCUCCAAGUGGCCUGUGAUUGGUCAGUUUUCCAGCAUAGGUUCCCUUGGGAACGACAAGGACCAUUGGCUGUGUUCUGAAUGGUUACAAAGCUUGUCCACAUGUUCUGGUAACAUGAUGUCCAGUCCCCCUCUGCAUCUGGUUUUUCCAACAGUGGACAAUGUGCGGCACAGUUUGGAAGGUUACCCAGCUGGUGGCUCAAUACCAUACAGCUCCAAGACAGCUUUGAAACAGCCUUAUCUUUCAAGUUUCUUUUGCUCUUGGAAGUCUCAUUCCUGUGGUAGAAGUUGCACCUCUCCUCGCAUUAAAACAUACACCAGGGUAUCCCCAGAUUGGAGCCGCAUGAGCUGGUUUCUUGUGACAAGAAUCUCCUUGGAUGUGGGAUGUCAAAUACAACACACCUGAUGGUCAUGGUAGAAUAUGGUCACCAUCAUAAUCACUGCAGUCAGGGAAUCACUGGGUUAAAAUGGACACAGAGGAUGUCAGGGGGAGGGCAAAGGCAAAGGCAAAGGCCAUAUAUACCUUUAAAAGAAAUGAAACUCAGAUUUUGUUGACACUCACUUUAAAGAAAAUGUUAAUUUUUGAAAUACUCAUGUCUUAAAAAUCAUGUUUUGAUCAGAAUUUCAGGCUUGAGUCAUGCAAACCAAAAUAAAAAUAAUUCUCACAGA